CCUAGGUGAGUCAACAUUCCAUCAGGACAGACAUCAAUAGUUGCUCGCUGAUGAGCUUUAAGCAGACCAAUGUCUGAUGGUACACUUGUCGGAGGGUAGGGUUCCGGCUCAACUGUUUCAGUGGAGACUCUCUGAGGAUGCAGAAUUGUCAAAAAUGUAAAUUUAUUUUCAGUAAAAUUGAGAUCUUUGUUCAUAUCUUUUUAAGGGACUGCUGGUACUUGGUAAAAACAAAAACAAAAACAAAAAACAACCACCGACAACAAAACACAACAACAAACAACUCAUUGGAAUGGUUCAUUCAAGGAAUACUUGCCCUUUCUCCGGAGCUUUUUAUGUCUUUCCCACAGAAACUCCCAGAGACUUAAUAUGCCACCCUCCUUUUUUUCAUUUCUUCCGUCAUUAAUCAGAUCACACGUUGAGAGCAGAACAGAGGUGGAAGGAGAGAGGAAAAAGAAGAUAUGAGCAAAGAAGACAAGACAAAAUGCAGAUAACAAAUUGAAUAUGCAUACACAAACCACAGUUUCUCCAUCUAUCAAUAUGAGAAUUUCAGGCUAUUGGCUGGCUAUCGAUAAUGACCACACUUGGAAAGGAGUUCUUUGGAAUAAAUACAGUUGUGUGUGACUUAAAAACCAGACAGCAGGCCCAAGAUAGAGUCCUUUAUACUAAGCCCGUGUGCCAAAACUGAGACUUAAUUACCAUUUUGGCUCUUCUAGAAAUGGAAUCUUAAACCAGUCAGUUGGGGAUCCCUUGAUCAGCACCAGAUAGGCCCCUGCCAUCCCCUAGAGGGGAGUGACCCUGCAAUCUCCAGCUCCUUUUUUGUCUAGUGUAACUUCCUGUUCCUGCUCCCUGCAACCUAGAAAGGUGUCUCAUUUGGUACACAGCUCCACAGAGCUCCUUUCUAUCUGCUAGGUUGGAUGCCGUCCUAUUUGAAUCAAUUGUUGCUCAUAUAAACUCUUAAUACGCCUCAGUUUAUCUUUUAACAUAGGCUGCAAUUACCUUGAGAUCUGUGAGACAUGGCUCAGUUGAAAAAUUUCUAGGCUUGACAUUGGGAGCUACAGGUUCUGGUCCAAGCCUUCUCAAAGUGGCUGUGUAAUUGAGAGCACAUUAUUUGUCCUACCAAGUGUGCAUCAGUAUCCCCAUUUAUUACAAUCAAAAAGGUAAGCAAUACUUAACCCAUCCAUCACAUACCUAAUGUGAAAAUAUGAGACACGUUGAAUACAUGAAAGUGUUUUAAAAGAUUCAAAACUAAUUGCAAAAUUCAGUCAUUAAAACCAAAUGAAGAUUUUUUGGGGGGUGGUUGUUGACUGAGCAGAAUAUUAUCAUUAAACCAUUAAUGGAUGAGUUCAGUUAAUAAAAGUGUGUGACUUGUGAAGAAAUGGAUUGGUAUUAAUUACAAAAAUUAUAUCAUAAUUAAUGCACUCAUUAAUGAUCCACCAAUCAAUAUCAAUUCAAGGUUUAUUAUUUUAAGGAGAAUGGGCAAUUAGCAGUUUGACACCAUGAAAAGGAGAUAGCCAACUAACUGAUGGGUCCCCAUCAAGUUUAAUUUUAAUUUGUUUUAAAAGUAUCUUCUUUAGGAGUGAAUUUAAAUGCACAUCGCUCUUUCUCUUUUCAGAAAAUGAAUAUAUAUGUUGUUUAAAAAGCAUAUCUGAAUGACAAAGAAUCAAGUCUGGCGAGAAAUGAGCACAUCUUCUAAAUGGGCUCGAUGAUAUGAAAGCUGGGGCUCAGAUUUCAAAAUCAUUACCCAAGGUGGAUUGGGAGGCAAGCCAAGGUCUGCAGCCAGAAAACGCUGUGAUCUGAAUGUUUAUUUUGUGCAUAUGUUGAAGGCAUGUGUUGAAAUCCCAAUGCCCUAUGUGAUGACUUGGUCAUAAGAAUGGAGCCAUGAUGAAUGGGAUUAGUGUCCUCCUACAAUAGACCCCACUGAGCUCCCUCAGCCCUGCUGCCGUGUGAGAACACAAGGAGAUGACGGCUUUCUAUAAACCAGAGAUCAGCCUCCUGAACUGAGAGAAAUCAGUAUCUGCUGUUCAGAAGUUACCCCAUCUGUGGUAUUUUGCUACAGCCCUCCAAACAGACUAAGACAACGUAUGACAAUGCGGAAGAAGUUGGUGGACCGGGGGUUCCGGAGCAUUGUUCAGGCAUAACCAUAGCUGUACCUUUGGGACUUGGGUGGAAACCAAAAUAUCACUUGGCAAGAACGUACCUCUGGAGCUCCAGUUAUCUUUUUGACUCCUCAACAACUGCUGCUGAGCGCUGCCAGCCUCAUGCCCCUCUCUGUGCCUGAUGGCGCAUCUCCUGCUUUGCCCUGGUACUCUCUGGCCUCCUUCGUCCCCUGCUGACUUCUAAGCAAUCAAGCUUUCCUUGGCCACAUGGUCUCUGCUCACUUCCUGCUUCCUGUGUGGAUGCCCUUCUGUGUCUGAACUUCUCUCUCGCCCUGGCCUUCCCUGAUGUCUUGAAUCCACAGGCCCCUGACACCAACUCAGAGGUCAGCUGGCAUGCAUUCAUAUCCACACUCUGUGUCCUCAGGCCACUCCAGAGACCCAGCAGCCCCUGACAGGGGGCAGCAGCCUUUGGGUAAAGCACUCAUCUCACAUUGGAUCGGCCUGGCCAGGGGCCAUGGUUGGUUUCAUGAGUCAUCUUGGCUAGGUUAUGGUACCCAGCGUCUUUGUCAAACACCAGUCUAUAUGUUGCUGUGAAGACAUUUCUUAGACGUACGUGAUCAACACUGAAAUCAGUGGACUUUGUGAAAAGCAGAUUACUGUCCACAGGGUGGGUAGCCCUCAUCCAAUCAGCUGAAAGCUUUGAGAAGAAAGAUUGAGGCCCCCCUACAAAGAAGGAACUCAGCCUCCAGACUGGUUUCAUGCUCAAGAUGCAGCAUCAACUUUCUCCUGGGUCCCCAGCCUGCUGCCUGCUCUGUCACUUGCAAACUUGCUAGCCCCCACAGUCUACAGAGCCAAUUCCUUAAAAUAAAUCCUUCUCUCGUGCUCUACGCACAUUCACAUCCCCUUGGUCUAUUUCUCUGGAGAACCCUAAUACACCAGGGGAGUAGGUUCACGAUGCCAGUGAGCUCUGAGAAGAAAAGGCGUUGUGUUCAAUCUAAUCGGAGCCCAUAAGAAUGGAAACGAACUAGUUGAUCUGAGGAAUGAGUGACAAGACUAAGAAUACCUUAAAUAAAUAAACAUGAGAUGGCUUUGAGUUGGCACAUGGAAUAUCAGACAGUCAAUCAUACGAAAAGUUUCAUUAUAUCUGAAGCUACUGCAGUAGAAUGGCUUAGUAUAAUUUCAGCUUGAGGAAGGGAAGGGGAACUUCGUUUUAUUCAGCAUCUAUUAGAUGCCAGGCCCUCGUAGGUACAGGAAACGGUCGCUUAGUUAUCCUUUAUUUUCACAAUAUUUAAUUAUCUCGAUAUAAUUUAAUUUAUAGCAUUUAAUGACCACAAUAUCCUGCAGAGUCGGACCCUGGGAUGUAAGGAGGCCAAGUAGCUUGCCAAUGGUUACUCAGAAAGCAACAGAUGAUUCUCUCUCUUCUCGACCGAGGAUAUCCAGACACAGUCGCUUAUUACUUGCGAGGAUGGACUGAACGUGUCUUCACCGCAGGACUGCUGUGCACGCUCUACCCUCGGUGUGGACAUCUGCCCCUGCCUUAGGUUUUUUAUCUUUAAAAUUGCAGCUUGAAUGUUCUCUUUAGGGACUCACUUUUGUCUCCCCCCAGGCUGAAUCUGGGCCACUGAUAGCUCUUCAAGUUCCCAGCACUUUUUUUUUACAGUACAUGUAAUUAUGCCUCUGUGCGCAAGCUUUUCUUUGAGUUUUCUCUACUAGACUGUAAGUCACAUGAGAACAAGAACUGCAGCUAUUCUGUUCCCCCAUCUUAUCUCUGGGCCCGAGGGAAGUAUUUACCACGUGGUAGUAAUGACUCAAUGACCAUGUACUGAAUAAAGCUAUUUGAAUGAAUUUGAAA